rnacentral:rRNA from 1 species
ACAGCAGCAGCCACGGGAAAACGGAGGGUGCAAGCGUUAUCCGGAUUCACUGGGUUUAAAGGGUGCGUAGGCGGAUCUGUAAGUCAGUGGUGAAAUCUCCAGGCUUAACCUGGAAACUGCCGUUGAUACUAUAGGUCUUGAAUUUUGUGGAGGUUAGCGGAAUAUGUCAUGUAGCGGUGAAAUGCAUAGAUAUGACAUAGAACACCAAUUGCGAAGGCAGCUGGCUACACAACUAUUGACGCUGAGGCACGAAAGCGUGGGGAUCAAACAGGAUUAGAUACCCCCGUAGUCCCUGUCUCUUAUAC